UACGAAGGGGGCUAGCGUUGUUCGGAAUUACUGGGCGUAAAGCGCGCGUAGGCGGUUUUGCAAGCCAGAGGUGAAAUGCCUGAGCUCAACUUAGGAAUUGCCUUUGGGACUGCGAGGCUUUGAGGACGGGAGAGGUGAGUGGAAUUCCCAGUGUAGAGGUGAAAUUCGUAGAUAUUGGGAAGAACACCAGUGGCGAAGGCGGCUCACUGGCCCGGAACUGACGCUGAGACGCGAAAGCGUGGGGAGCAAACAGG
rnacentral:rRNA from 1 species